AUCACCUGAGGAUCUUGUUAAAAGGCAGAUUCUGGUGCAGAAGGACAGGGAGGGGCCUGAGAUUCUGCAUUUAUAAUAAGCUCCCAGGUGAUGCUGA
rnacentral:pre_miRNA from 1 species